GGAUAGCUGCUUUCUUCAGUGGGCCAGGAACAGGCUCCCUUCAGGCUUUCUCAGUGCUGCUGUUUAAGCCUUCAGGGCAGAUGUUUUAAAAUAUAUAUAUGCAAAUAGAUAGAUAGGUAGGUAGAUAAGAUCAACGAGUGUCUGGGAAAGUGGGCUGUGUGUCUUUGUUGUUUGCUCUUUAAUGUUGAUCGCCCCCUCCCCAAGCUGAGGGCAUCUCUGCCUCCUGAAUGCCCUCUUUCCCCUGUCAUUUCCAUCUGCUCUUGCCACGAGAGCUGUGGUGAAUGGACUAACCAGGGGAAAAAGGUAGACACUUUGUUGACCUCAGCCUUAAAACAGCUUCUGGUGGUGAGGCUUCUGCAAUGGCAGGAAGAUGAAACUAAGAAAAAACAUGAUUGUUGGAGGAAAAAAAUGAGACUAAAACAACACAGUCUUCCUUCUGGUUGGGUAUAAUUUGAACAGAACACUUCACGUCAACUCCUUGGUUGUCUUGUUAUUAGGACUGGACUCUAAGCAGACAGUUAAGAGUGUGGUGAGGCUUCCUUUUAUCCUUUGCAUGAUUUUUUUUUCUGAGGGAGGUAACGUGAUUCAUUGGAUUUUGUAAUUUCAGUGUGCAUCACAGCUUUAAGGGGAAGUGGGGGGGGCUGUAACAUGAAAAGAGUCUUUGCAUAUUUCUAGCUGGAAAAUUCUUAAUACUGCUUAAUUUUUUUUCCUCUACAUCAAAUCUUAACAUGUCCAGAUCUGAAGCACUAUUUAAGUGCUUUUUAUAUUGUUGUUAAACCACCUUGAAAGUAGAUUUUUUUUUUUUUUUUGGCUGCUGCACUGCAAUUAAGAGAAACUAAGUGUGAGCAACGCCAUAAGAUCAGCUAUCAUAAAUGAAUUUUGACAUAGAGCACUACAAAUUGCAUUGUGUAUUUCCAUACUGUUGGUUACCACUUCAAUAUUCUGAGCACACAUUUUUGGAAUAUGUUACUAUUUAAACACAUCAUCAUGGUGCAAAGCAUCCUUCGUGCUUGUCUUUGAUGUUACCC
rnacentral:lncRNA from 1 species